rnacentral:rRNA from 1 species
GACGAACGCUGGCGGCGUGCCUAAUACAUGCAAGUAGAACGCUGAAGAGAGGAGCUUGCUCUUCUUGGCUGAGUUGCGAACGGGUGAGUAACGCGUAGGUAACCUGCCUUGUAGCGGGGGAUAACUAUUGGAAACGAUAGCUAAUACCGCAUAACAAUGGAUGACACAUGUCAUUUAUUUGAAAGGGGCAAUUGCUCCACUACAAGAUGGACCUGCGUUGUAUUAGCUAGUAGGUGAGGUAACGGCUCACCUAGGCGACGAUACAUAGCCGACCUGAGAGGGUGAUCGGCCACACUGGGACUGAGACACGGCCCAGACUCCUACGGGAGGCAGCAGUAGGGAAUCUUCGGCAAUGGGGGCAACCCUGACCGAGCAACGCCGCGUGAGUGAAGAAGGUUUUCGGAUCGUAAAGCUCGGUUGUAAGUCAAGAACGAGUGUGAGAGUGGAAAGUUCACACUGUGACGGUAGCUUACCAGAAAGGGACGGCUAACUACGUG